AUCCAGCUGACGAGUCCCCCAGGAUAGGACGAAACUCGCGUCCUGGAU
rnacentral:hammerhead_ribozyme from 1 species